GCAGUAUUAAGUGGUGCUGGGAGCAGGGCAUUGUGUAACUCUCCAGAGUUUGGCUGGUGGUGGGUGGUUGAGAGCAUCCUGCUUCUGGACAGGCUGGUUCUCCUUUGGAUCUUACAGAUGCUUUGUGAUUAUCUAUUGUUUAAAGGAACAGGGCUUGUGAGUGGAUUAAAAACUCACUGUUAUCUACAAACGAAGCAUACUCCUACAAGGAGAGCUGAAAAGGAUGCAAAUCUAUUCUACAAUUUAAACUUGAACUGUUUAUGACAGAUGUAUAUUAAUAUAAAAUUCUUUUCUUAAUGCACACAUGGGCGAAGCAGAUUGCACAGAAAUAACUGGGCUAAUUAAAAUUGAGCGAAUGUUUUAAUUUCUGUUAAAUACAACAGCAUAUUUUCUACCUGCAUCAGCUCUAUGCCUUAUUCUUUUUGAGAUAUUGGAAAGCAAGUAAAAUAGUUGACUGCAUUACAUCAAAAGAACUGAUUUUUUGUUUCCCAGCCCUUUAAUGUAUUUUUCUGUUAGAAUGCAUCCUGUUCAAUCAAAAUGGUCUUGUUCUAACUAUUGCUUUGUGUCUUUCUACAUAGAAAUUCAGUUUCUUAUAUGCACAUGCAUGAUAAUAAUUUGAGGUUAAUGACAACCCUGAGAAACAAUUUUAAUUUCUAAUGCUUAGAAAUGAACAAGUUGGUUUGAAUAAUGAAUCAUUACCUGUCAACUUCAGACUUUUACGCAGAAUGUAAAUACUUUGCUUUCUUCGUGUUCUUCCUUGGGAUCAAGUGGACUAGGCAUUCAGUCUUGUGAAGUGUAAGCUUCUCUUUCACAAACUGCAGUAUAAAUGAAAACAAAUUCUCCUCUUAGUGUCUUUUUGUCUUGCUACUUGUAGCAUCUAGUACUGAAUUAAUAUCAUGCUCACAACAUCUAUUGAUUUCCAGGAAUAAUGUAUCAGAUAUCCAGUUAUAUGAGCUAUCAUCUGUCUUCUUAUGAAUUGAUUCUAUUUGCUCAUCUUUCCAAUUUGUCCAGUGUCUUUAUUUGCAUUAAUACUGCCCCUGCAGCCUGCCAUAUUUUGUCUUACUCCAUAAUAGCAACGUAAUUCAUAGUUUUUUCAAUAUUUAUUGCUAAUAAUAAUUACCUGGGUCCUGUUCUGCAUGUGGGAGGUUUCCAGCUCGUUAGUGACUUUUCAGGGACUGUGAAUCAUAUUGUUAGUGUUUAAUAUAUAUGGGCAAAA